rnacentral:rRNA from 1 species
UGGGGAAUUGUUCGCAAUGGGCGCAAGCCUGACGACGCAACGCCGCGUGGAGGACGACGAUCUUCGGGUCGUAAACUCCUUUCGAUCGGGAAGAACGCCUCUGGUGUGAAUAUCGCCAGAGGGUGACGGUACCGAGAGAAGAAGCCCCGGCUAACUCUGUGCCAGCAGCCGCGGUAAUACAGGGGGGGCAAGCGUUGUUCGGAAUUACUGGGCGUAAAGGGCGCGUAGGCGGCCAACUAAGUCACACGUGAAAUCCCCAGGCUCAACUUGGGAACUGCGUGUGAUACUGGAUGGCUUGAAUUCGGGAGAGGGAUGCGGAAUUCCAGGUGUAGCGGUGAAAUGCGUAGAUAUCUGGAGGAACACCGGUGGCGAAGGCGGCAUCCUGGACCGACAUUGACGCUGAGGCGCGAAAGCUAGGGGAGCAAAC